rnacentral:tRNA from 1 species
UGGCUGAGCGGUAAAGUGCUUGGCUUCCUAACCGGGGGUCCCAGGUUCGAAUCCUGG